rnacentral:rRNA from 1 species
CCUACGGGAGGCAGCAGUGGGGAAUAUUGCACAAUGGGCGAAAGCCUGAUGCAGCGACGCCGCGUGAGGGAUGACGGCCUUCGGGUUGUAAACCUCUUUCAGCAGGGAAGAAGCGAAAGUGACGGUACCUGCAGAAGAAGCGCCGGCUAACUACGUGCCAGCAGCCGCGGUAAUACGUAGGGCGCAAGCGUUGUCCGGAAUUAUUGGGCGUAAAGAGCUCGUAGGCGGCUUGUCACGUCGGAUGUGAAAGCCCGAGGNUAACCUCGGGUCGUGC